GUGCCAGCAGCCGCGGUAAUACAGAGGGUGCAAGCGUUGUUCGGAAUUAUUGGGCGUAAAGCGCGUGUAGGCGGCUUAUCAAGUCAGAUGUGAAAGCCCUCGGCUCAACCGAGGAAGUGCGUCUGAAACUGGUGAGCUUGAGUGCCGGAGAGGGUAGCGGAAUUCCGCAAGUAGAGGUGAAAUUCGUAGAGAUGCGGAGGAACACCGGUGGCGAAGGCGGCUACCUGGACGGCUACUGACGCUGAGACGCGAAAGCGUGGGAAGCAAACAGGAUUAGAAACCCUUGUAGUCC
rnacentral:rRNA from 1 species